rnacentral:lncRNA from 1 species
CGAACAUCACCACCUCCAUCUUGGACAUAAAGAAAUUGAGGCUGAGCUCAGGAAAACAGCAAAAUGGAGGAAAGCCUUUGACUUUCUAGCCUUCCAUUGAUUCUUGAGGCUAUCAGAAGAGUGAGAGCUCUGGGUAGAGUGGCAAUGGUAAUGAUAGCUUGAAAGUCCUACACUAACAGGACCUGAGAUGUUUGCAGCCCUGGAUCUCUGAAGAAACUUCCUGUAUAGCCUUGAGAGUAGGAAAGAAAAGAGAUGUGUCCAGAUCGCCAAUUCACGGAAAUGGUCAUAACAGCAUUAGACAAAGAAACUGAAAAAAUUACAUGGAAGAAUUCAGGGGGACCUCUCCAUGGGAAUAUGAAUUACAGACCUCAGCAUCUCACUCUCUCUAUUUAGCUGUUGUGUAAUAAUAGAUAAUUUUGACUUGAGAAAAUAAAUGAAGAGAACUGGGAGAUGAAACCUCCAGAAGCAUCUGGCUUUUAUUCACUCUUAUAUUCUUAC